AGUGAACGCUGGCGGUAGGCCUAACACAUGCAAGUCGAACGGCAGCACAGUAAGAGCUUGCUCUUACGGGUGGCGAGUGGCGGACGGGUGAGGAAUACAUCGGAAUCUACUUUUUCGUGGGGGAUAACGUAGGGAAACUUACGCUAAUACCGCAUACGACCUACGGGUGAAAGCAGGGGAUCUUCGGACCUUGCGCGAUUGAAUGAGCCGAUGUCGGAUUAGCUAGUUGGCGGGGUAAAGGCCCACCAAGGCGACGAUCCGUAGCUGGUCUGAGAGGAUGAUCAGCCACACUGGAACUGAGACACGGUCCAGACUCCUACGGGAGGCAGCAGUGGGGAAUAUUGGACAAUGGGCGCAAGCCUGAUCCGGCCAUACCGCGUGGGUGAAGAAGGCCUUCGGGUUGUAAGGCCCUUUUGUUGGGAAAGAAAAGCAGCAGGUUAAUACCCCGCUGUUCUGACGGUACCCAAAGAAUAAGCACCGGCUAACUUCGUG
rnacentral:rRNA from 1 species